GACGAACGCUGGCGGCGUGCUUAACACAUGCAAGUCGAACGAUGAAGAAGAGAAACGCGAACUUCGGUUCAACUUUCACUUCGGAUUAGUGGCAGACGGGUGAGUAACGCGUGAGCAACCUACCUCUUACAAAGGGAUAGCCUCGGGAAACCGUGAUUAAUACCAUAUGACACAUUCAUAAGGCAUCUUAAGAAUGUUAAAGCUACGGCGGUAAGAGAUGGGCUCGCGUCCCAUUAGCUAGUUGGUGAGGUAACGGCCCACCAAGGCGACGAUGGGUAACCGGCCUGAGAGGGUGAACGGUCACAUUGGAACUGAGACACGGUCCAAACUCCUACGGGAGGCAGCAGUGGGGAAUAUUGCACAAUGGAGGGAACUCUGAUGCAGCGACGCCGCGUGAGCGAUGAAGGAAUUCGUUUCGUAAAGCUCUGUUCUAUGGGAAGAAAAGGACUGUACCAUAGGAGAAAGCACCGGCUAAAUACGUG
rnacentral:rRNA from 1 species